rnacentral:rRNA from 1 species
GGUGGCGCAUGGUUGUCGUCAGCUCGUGUCGUGAGAUGUUGGGUUAAGUCCCGCAACGAGCGCAACCCUUAUUCUUAGUUGCCAUCAUUUAGUUGGGCACUCUAAGGAGACUGCCGGUGACAAACCGGAGGAAGGUGGGGAUGACGUCAAGUCAUCAUGGCCCUUAUGACCUGGGCUACACACGUGCUACAAUGGGAAGUACAACGAGUCGCUAGACCGCGAGGUCAUGCAAAUCUCUUAAAGCUUCUCUCAGUUCGGAUUGCAGGCUGCAACUCGCCUACAUGAAGCCGGAAUCGCUAGUAAUCGUGGAUCAGCAUGCCACGGUGAAUACGUUCCCGGGUCUUGUACACAC